rnacentral:tRNA from 1 species
GCGCUGGUGGUUCAGUGGUAGAAUUCUCGCCUGCCACGCGGGUGACCGGGGUUCGAUUCCCCGCUAGCGCA